rnacentral:rRNA from 1 species
CACGUAGGGGGCAAGCGUUGUCCGGAUUUAUUGGGCGUAAAGAGCUCGUAGGCGGUUCGGUAAGUCGGGUGUGAAACCUCCAGGCUCAACCUGGAGACGCCACCUGAUACUGCUGUGACUCGAGUCCGGUAGGGGAGCGUGGAAUUCCUGGUGUAGCGGUGAAAUGCGCAGAUAUCAGGAGGAACACCAGCGGCGAAGGCGGCGCUCUGGGCCGGAACUGACGCUGAGGCGCGAAAGCGUGGGGAGCAAACAGG